rnacentral:SRP_RNA from 2 species
GCCGGGAGUCGGGCGGACGUCGUCGUCGCCAACUUGGUCAGGUCCGGAAGGAAGCAGCCACAACGAUUUCUCGCCGGGUCGUUCCGGCUCCCACCUUC